rnacentral:tRNA from 1 species
AGAGGUUUAAGUUAAAAUUAAACUAUAAGCCUUCAAAGUUUAAAAUGGGUUAGGCCCAAUCUCUA